rnacentral:misc_RNA from 1 species
AUGCCGGACUGGACUUGGAUGUUGUUUUCGGCGCUAUUCGGAGCUGUUUCUGCGCUAACUGUUCCACUGUUACUUCUCAUGUAUUACGUACGGCCGUUUGAAAAGAGAACUCAAGAACUGGACCAAUUUAAUAUGCCAGUCACUUUGCCUCUGGAAAUUCUGAACGAGCUUACACGUGGAGCCGGCAGCACUCCCGAGGGCGCUCUGAACGCGAUGCUGCAGUUCAUAUUCCAACAAAGCACUGCCGAUACUCGCUGGUUACGACGCCGUAUGGCUACCGAACUUGCUGAGUUGCUUGCUAAAACAUCUUCAGGAAAGAUAUUUGAAUCUCUAACGCUACGUUCCUUGGAAGUUGGCACUGAGUUUCCUAGUAUCAACAAUCUUCACCUACUUAGCGGCGAAUUGGAGGAAGAUGGGGCAAGACUCAGGUCCUUGGAUCUAAAAUUCGAUCUUGCCUACGACGGAAACUUCAGGAUUGACGUAGACGCUGUGAUGCUGCUUGGCAAGAUUGCUAAUAUAUCGAUUACUGUUGAAAGUCUAAGCGGCAAUGUACGACUCAUGUUUCGACGCACUCCGUAUACCCAUUGGGCGCUUGCUUUUGAAGCGCCGCCAAAGUUGGAGUUGAAAGUCCGAGGUCGAUUCCAAGGGCGGCAAUUAAAGCCGAGACUGGCAUCGCUGGUCGCGGCCCAUAUCAGGAGGGCAGUCGCACAACGGCACACCCUUCCCAAUUAUAAGAUAAGAUACAAACCAUUCUUCCCAAAAUCUGAGCCGGGUAGUGGAGAAGCUGAUGACGGUCCCACUCCUCAAGGUCGACUGACGGUACGACUUGUCGAAGUUACUCGAUUGCAGUGGGCAGGAGCGAGUGGGACAGUAAGGGCUGCUUUAGCUGUGGAUUCACAUGCAUGGGUAUCCCUACGUCGUGGUGUUUUAGUGUUGGAUGUAGUGUUGCCAGCAGUCUCCGGUCCGCUCGGCCUCGUUUGCUGCCAGGGUGUCGGAGUGGUGCUGGUAGAUACAGUGGUGCCAAUGUCGCCAGCAUAUCGCGCCGAUUUACGACGAGACGAUGUCGUACUGGCCAUCGAUAAUAAGCCCAUUAAUAAUGUCGCUCAGGUUGGCAAACUCCUUCGUCUGGUAGAACGGCGUGCUGUCACCGUGCGAGUUCGACGAGGCGGCAGUGGAAACUCAGCGCGCCGUGAAGACAACGCCGUCGAACCGAAACGGAUCAAACCUAACUUUUCAUUCAGAAGAGUUUCCGAAGUAAUGGAGGGAGUUAGACUGCAGGGUAUUAGAGCUGCGGCUUCUAAGAGUAAUUUACAGGAAUCCGAAUCACCGGUUAAAGCUUCUGUUGAAUCACACAACGAGACUGACGCACAAUCCAAACCAAAAACAGAACCGGUUCGUCAACUUUCCAAGUCAAAUGACCAGCCUUCACCUUCAGCCAAUUUCGGUCUUCGUAAGCGCCGUUGUUCCGUGGAAAAUAAAUCUUCAGAUAGUUCUGCGGGUAGCACACCACCGGCUUCUGGAGCCAGUACACCCUUGCGACAGUCCACGGCUGUGAACAAAACCGUCAAACACCCCGAAAUACCUAUUAUUAGAACUGAUUCCUCCGAAUGUAAAGUUACGGAGAGAGUUGAAACACUUUUAGAUGAUGAUGAAUUAUUCGAAACAGGCGGCCCCAGACAAUGCGAACAUGUUGAGAUAUGCCAAAUGUUUUUGACUAAAAGCAUCCAGCUCAAACCCAUCAUACCGUUUGAUGAAGAAACCGAAUUCAAAUUGAACGAGAAUCAUAAAUAUUUAAAUAUAAACGUAUGGGCAACGGUAACAGGAGAGAAAGAUGAAGUUUUGUUGGGAUACUUGAAUAUUCCACUAGCCGCGUUAUUGAGCGAAUGCCAGGACUCGACAGUUCCACAUCAUAUGAAACGAUAUCAGUUUUUACCUCCCGAUGUCGAUAUUAAAUUUAGCAAAAGCCACAAACUGGCUUCACAUGCAGGCUUCGAGCCAUGUCUAUGUUUUGGAGACGCUCUGGUUUGGUGGGAAUGGGAUGGGGCAGCUACUCGCAGUGCUCCUCGUCCUCCUGUGAAAGACUCAGCGCCUCCUCGGCCCCCCAAAUUGACCAGAGCUGUUCACGAUUUUGUACGAACUCACUUCCACAGAUCCACUCAAUGCGAUUUUUGCAAUAAAAAGAUUUGGUUGAAAGACGCAAUGCAAUGCCGUAGUUGUGGUCUUUGUUGCCAUAAAAAAUGCGUUACAAAGUGUCAAGAGUCUUCGCCGUGCGUACCUAAACAAGACUUAGGCUUGAGCUGUCCUCCUCCUGAACUGAUUAUGACAGAAGCUGACUCCGUUCCCGACCCUGACUCCGACGAAGAACCCGAUAGAAAAGACUCACUUGAAGUUCACGAAGAAGACGAAUUGCUUGAAUGCUGACAUUUGGGAAGCAAUACACUAUUCUAACACACCCGGACUCAUUCGACUUGUCCCUACGACUGUGCAGGCGGCGGCGCUAUGAGCGCGCUGGUGGCGGGGCUACGGCGUGCUGGCUCUGCACACUCGCUCUCGGCUCCCAAAACUUCAGCUUCUUCCAGGUCUUUACCGCCCUCACC